AUGGCAUUGCCCUUGCAUUUUCUUUCAGUGCUGCCACUGCCAGCAUGCACUUUGGAAAUCAUCAAUAGGAGGUGUAGGGGCUUCAUUUGGAAAGGGGAAAAUGAGAUAAGUGGAGGUCAUUAUCUUCUGCCUUGGGCGAGAGUGUGUAUGCCGAAGGAGUGUGGCGGCCUGGGCAUCUUGAACUUGAAGUGGUUCGGCUCGGCUUUGCAUUGCCGAUGGCCCUGGAUGCACUGGGACCCUAAGGAGCCACCAUGACGGAUGUUGCCAGAUGAUCAAGAGGGUGAGGUCAUGACUAUCUUCAGUGCGGUCACGUCCGUCUGCUUGGGGAUGGAAAGNNNNNNNAAGCCGGGCCACACUAUCUGGGAUGCCCUUCAGAACCAUAGCUGGGUCCGAGACAUCUCAGGAGGAGAUUCAGUAGUAGCCAUUGCACAAUAUCUCAUCGUUUGGGACAUUACUUAGAAUAUCUCGUUGACGCCUGGUGUGCCGGAUCAUCUACAAUGGAAGCUGACCGAGGAUCAUCUCUUCUCUGUUAAGAGUUCGUACAACAUAUUCUUUGUUGCCUCAGUGCACUUCGCCUGCUACAAACUAAUUUGGAAAUCCAAAGCUCCUCCAAGAUGCGAGUUUUUCAUGUGGCUGGUGGUUCAUCGCCUAUGCCUGACUGCGGACAACCUGGAGAGGAGGGGAUGGCCCUCAAACGGAAACUACCCUCUCUGCCUUGUCACGCCAGAGGACUGCGCACACCUAUUCAUGCACUACAAGUUCACACAACAGGUUUGGCUACUAUUUGGAGAUUGGACACGGGCAGAUUUUUAGGUGCCGAAGGAUCGUUUCAGCAAUACGGAACACUGGUGGCUGCAAGCACGUAAGUUAGUUCCCAAGCCUAUGCGUCAGAACAUUGACACAAUCUCCAUCUUGAUUCACUUGAGGAUUUGGAAGGAAAGAAAUUCCAGAAUUUUUGAGCAGGAAGCGAGUAGUCCCUUCAGAGUUUUGGAUCUGAUUUGA
rnacentral:rRNA from 1 species